GGUCCCCUGCGGUGUUCGUUCAAGGUCUAAUAUUCUUUGAACCAAUAUAGUAGAACUGGUUGCAAAUCCUUGAUGCCCUGUUGUGAGCGUCGCCCAGCGAUGCACCUGAUGGGUUCGGUGUGUAACCCCCUUGAACCUUACGGUUCAAGAUGAAGGCCGUACGGCACAGGCGGGGGGCUU
rnacentral:other from 1 species